rnacentral:rRNA from 1 species
UGAAGCUGGAAUCGCUAGUAAUCGCGGAUCAGAAUGCCGCGGUGAAUACGUUCCCGGGUCUUGUACACACCGCCCGUCACACCAUGAGAGCCGGUAACACCCGAAGUCAGUAGUCUAACCGCAAGGGGAACGCUGCCGAAGGUGGGGCUGGUGAUUGGGGUGAAGUCGUAACAAGGUAUC